GCAAGUCGAGCGAUGAAGUUUCUUCGGAAAUGGAUUAGCGGCGAACGGGUGAGGAACGCGUGAAGAAUCUGCCCUCCACUUUGGGAUAAGCGGGCGGGAAACCGGUGCUAAUACCGAAUAUUGAAACAUAAGUGGCAUCACUGAGUUUUGAAAGAAUUUCGGUGGAGGAUGACUUCGCGGCCUAUCAGCUAGUUGGUGAGGUAAUGGCUCACCAAGGCAACGACGGGUAGCCGGCCUGAGAGGGCGACCGGCCACACUGGGACUGAGACACGGCCCAGACUCCUACGGGAGGCAGCAGUGGGGAAUAUUGGGCAAUGGAGGAAACUCUGACCCAGCGACGCCGCGUGCGGGAUGAAGGCCUUCGGGUUGUAAACCGCUUUCAGUAGGGAAGAAGCGAAAGUGACGGUACCUACAAAGGAAGCACCGGCUAACUAUGUGCCAGCAGCCGCGGUAAUACAUAGGGUGCAAGCGUUGUCCGGAAUUAUUGGGCGUAAAGAGCUCGUAGGUCGUUUGUUACGUCGGAUGUGAAAACCUGAGGCUCAACCUCAGGGCCUGCAUUCGAUACGGGCAAACUAGAGUUUGGUAGGGGAGACUGGAAUUCCUGGUGUAGCGGUGGAAUGCGCAGAUA
rnacentral:rRNA from 1 species